UCUAGUAAAAAUAAAAUAUGACCCAGAACUAAUUGCAAAAGUUUUCAAUCUUUGUUCAUUGAAUAGGUCUGGUAUAUGUAUAUGUCAGAAAAAAAGUUGCACAUAUAACUCUGUGCACAACUUUUUUUACAAGCGUUCAAAGUUCACGAAUUUUAACUUUAUAUUUUAAGACCCGAACUGUACACCAUACACGCGGUUUUUUUCCUAUGACGUAACAAUUUUAAGUAGGCACGCGCGUCAUUGAAAACUUGUCAUAUGAUUUCGUGAAACUUCCGUCGAAACAUAAAUAUAAUUAUUCAUCAAAAAUAGCAUUUAGAUGGCAAAGAUAGGACAUCCAUGAUUUACACACCAAUGGUCAUAUGAUGAUUAUCUAAUGUUCAGCUGUCUCUUGUAUCAAGAUGAUACAAGCCACAUUACCAAACCAUGCUGAUGGAACAAAUAACGAUAUGAAGGGCGUUGCAUUUCGAAACCCGUUGUGCAUUUCUGAUUUCGGGAUCUACAAGUGAAUAUCAACAUGGCAACAGAUUCUACAACGUGCGUAUUUUGUGCGCAGGAUAUCCAGAAUAGGUCCCAAUUGUCACUCUCAGAGAGAAGAGAAGGGAAGCAACAUUGUUAACCAUGCUAGCGAUCUGAGGAAUUCAAGUAUACAAGAAUACGAACAAUUACAGGCCAAAUUGUGCAUCAAGACUGUAGAAGGGAUUUUAUUCUCAAUAGAAACAUUUCAAAUAGUUCCAAUGUUAAGUGUAACCAAGUUAAAAGACCUUUAAGAUCACAUGCUAAUUUUGCUUUUAAGUGUAAUUGCUUGUUCUGUGGUAAGCCUGCUAAAGUUGCAUCUGGUUAACGUAGAUGUUCAUCCUGGUAGAAGUUUUGAUUUUCAGGAAACACAUCGUCGGAACCCACGGUACACAUUCCGUAUAUACUUGUUUGUUUGUUUGUUUGUUUCAUUUUACGCCUUUUCCCAACAAUAUUUCAGUCAUAUAGGCGGGUAGUUUCCUAACCAUCGUUCCUGGAGAGUUACACCAGUACUAGGCUACCUUCCUCCGCGCUAAACUACCAAAGCAUCUCCCGGGGAUCGAACCCACGCCAGAGAGGUAACUGGAUUAGAGUCAUCCGUAUAUACUACAUUUAAUAUUAUUACCGAUACAUAUAUACGGUAAAUAGCCUGGGUUACCGAGGAUGCAGGAAACAAUACAACUCAAAUGUUCUGAGAGAAACAAUCUUUUGGGAAAUGUUGUUUUAAACAGACUGUUGUCAGUUUUGGAUUUUCGUCAGAUUCGAAGAAUGUAUAUUUCAGAUCAGACAAUGAAAACCCAAAUAGUUUGGCAUAUAUAUUCAAAAGACACCAAAAUAUGAUUGGAAUAGAGAUUUGUUAUCACCUACCAUUCCUGCACGCUUUCUCUGGUUGCGACAGUUCUUAAAAUAAUGUGUAAAAAUGAAGUGUUCCGGCAAAAUGCUGCAAUAUUUCAUUCUUCAACAAACAAA